rnacentral:rRNA from 1 species
UACGAAGGGGGCUAGCGUUGCUCGGAAUUACUGGGCGUAAAGGGUGCGCAGGCGGCGUCGCAAGUCGAGUGUGAAAGCCCCGAGCUUAACUUGGGAAUUGCGCUCGAAACUACGAUGCUGGAGUGUGGCAGAGGAAGGUGGAAUUCCACGUGUAGCGGUGAAAUGCGUAGAGAUGUGGAGGAACACCGAUGGCGAAGGCAGCCUUCUGGGCCAACACUGACGCUCAUGCACGAAAGCGUGGGGAGCAAACAGG